UUGAUCUCAAAUCAGGUAGGAUUACCCGCUGAACUUAAGCAUAUCAAUAAGCGGAGGAAAAGAAACUAACAAGGAUUCCCCUAGUAACUGCGAGUGAAGCGGGAAGAGCUCAAAUUUAAAAUCUGGCGUGCCUUUGGUCGUCCGAGUUGUAGUCUGGAGAAGCGUUUUCUGUGUUGGACCGUGUAUAAGUCUCUUGGAACAGGGCGUCAUAGAGGGUGAGAAUCCCGUCUUUGACACGGACUACCAAUGCUUUGUGAUGCGCUCUCAAAGAGUCGAGUUGUUUGGGAAUGCAGCUCAAAAUGGGUGGUAAAUUCCAUCUAAAG
rnacentral:rRNA from 1 species